AACCUCCAGACCCUCUCGCCGUGGCUUAGAGGUGUCUCUGACAACGUGGCACACUGGGAAGGCCUUCUUUCCUGCUACCAAUACAAAUGCAUUCUGAAUUUGAUAUGUCAUUAAAUGUAAAAAUACAGCCAAUUUGAAACAAGCAAAUGGAAAUUCCCAGGAACCAAAAACAGAAAGAAAAAUCAGAGCUACCGCAGUGCUGUCCCUGCAGACAGAAUUUGGGAGAGGUACUCAGAGUCACCUCCUGUGAGCCUAUGCAAGCCAGCUCCUGCACAACCCUGGUUUUAGUCCAGCCUUCUGCAGAAUUCCACAUUAAACAGGAUGAAGAAUAGGUUGUUAGCAGACUGAGGUACUUGGGGCAACAUUUCGUACACAACAGGAGGGAGAAACGACUCCAGGUUGUCUUGUGGUAGAGGAGAUUUUGCCUUGCAAUUUUACAUACUUAUGCUACGUGGAAGGCUGGGUGGCGUGACUUCAGGUUUUGCAAAAGUCUCAUGAAUCAUCCCUUCCUGUGGUCCUGCUCCCUGAGAUCCUUUCACCGCUCACAGUGGGCUACUUCUAAGAGCGUGCCUGGCACAGGGUCACUGAGAGCAUAGUCUUAAUAAAACAAUGAUGGAUGCUUGUCUC
rnacentral:lncRNA from 1 species